AAGUCGUAACAAGGUUUUCGUAGGUGAACCUGCGGAAGGAUCAUUAACACGUAUCCAAACGUUAAAACCCCCCCCGUGAACCUUCAUCCUGCUCUUGUAACCUGCUCUUGUAACGACCGUACACUCGGGCAGGAGCUUUUGCCAAACGGUCCCCAUGCCCCCUAAUAACCCCAGAGUUUAAUGUGAAGCUCAAUGUAAUACAUUGGGUAAAAAAACCGAACAACUGUUAACAAUGGAUAUCUUGGUUCUC
rnacentral:misc_RNA from 1 species